UUCUUCUUCUUCUUCUUCUUCUUACUUCUAUUCAUUGGCGAUCAAAACAAAAUCUUUGAGCCAAAUUAAACACAAGAAAAGUUUCUUCAAAUGGGAUCUCAGAAUGAGCACAUAGUGAUGUUACCAUUCAUGGCUCAUGGCCAUCUCAUACCUUUUCUUGCUCUAGCAAGGCAAAUCCGCCGCAGAACUGGCUUCACCGUCACCAUCGCCAAUACCCCUUUCAACAUUCAAUACCUUCGUUCCACCAUGAACUCCUCCUCAUACCCACCUGAACCCAACAUCUGUCUCGUCGAGCUUCCUUUCUCCGUCGCCGACUAUGGCCUACCCGCCAACACUGAAAACUCUGAAAACUUGCCUUUAGACCUUAUUGGGAAAUUUUUCACAGCAUCUACAAGUCUUAAGAACCCAGUUCAUUGUCUUCUAUCUGAUAUUGUAGCUAAAGAAGGGAAGCCUCCUCUCUGUGUAAUAUCAGAUGUUUUCUUUGGUUGGGCAAAUGAAGUUGCCAAAAGUGUAGGUACUGUUAAUCUGAGCUUCUCUACCGGCGGCGCCUAUGGCUCCUUAGCUUAUAUUUCUUUGUGGUUGAAUCUUCCUCACCGGCAAGCUGGUUCCGAUAAGUUUCAUCUGCCGGGAUUUCCUGAUAGCUGCCGUUUUCAUAUAACUCAGUUGCAUCAAUUUUUGAGAAACGCAGAUGGUACUGAUUUAUGGUCCAAGUUUAUGCAACCACAGAUUUCACUUUCUUUGCAGUCCUUCGGAUUUUUAUGCAACACAGCAGAGGAAAUUGAGCCUCUAGCAUUGGAGUGGUUGAGGAAAUACAUUAAGCUUAGUGUUUGGACUAUUGGACCUCUUCUUCCACCUGCUGUGCUCAAUGGUUCAUCCAUUUCAUGUUCAGGUUCAAGCAUAAGUAUUCAGCGUGCUGGGAAGCAACCUGGGAUUUCUACAAAGAGCUGCCUGGAAUGGCUAGAUUUACAUAGCCAAGGUUCAGUUCUUUACAUUUCUUUUGGUUCACAAAACAGCAUUAGUCCCUCCCAGAUGAUGGAAUUGGCAAUUGGGUUGGAAGAAAGUUCAAAGCCUUUCAUUUGGGUCAUAAGGCCACCGGUUGGUUUUGACAGAAAAGCUGAAUUUAAAGCAGAAUGGCUACCAGAAGGAUUCGAAGAGCUAAUCAACAACAGAAAACAAGGGUUGCUGGUUCGCAAUUGGGCACCCCAAUUGGAGAUUCUGUCACACAAGUCCACUGGAGCAUUUCUCAGCCACUGUGGUUGGAAUUCAGUACUGGAAAGUUUAAGUCAAGGUGUGCCUAUUAUAGGAUGGCCUCUGGCAGCAGAACAAGCAUAUAAUUCGAAAAUGCUGGCGGAAGAGAUGGGUGUUAGUGUGGAGCUGACAAGAGGACUGCAUAGCAAUAUAACCUGGAAGGAAGUGAAGAAGGUGGUAGACUUGGUAAUUGAACCAAAAGGGAAAGGUAAUGAUAUGAGGAACAAGGCCAUGGAGAUUAGAAAGCUAAUGAGAGCAUCAGCAACAGAGGAAGGGGAAGAGAUUGGGUCCUCUGUAAAAGCAUUAGAUGAUCUUGUGAAAACCCUUUUAUCCAGAAGACGAGAGAAUAAGCCAAUUGCAUGAAUUAAGUGAAUGGAAAUUGGGAUAUCUAGCUCUUAUUAUGUUACCAAGUUCUUCAACUGAUGUGAUUCUCAGUGCUUAAUUAUUUCUUUUUUAUAAAAAGCAUAUUCCCCUUUGGGAAUUAGAAUUUUAUAAUAAUUUAAUUCAAUAAAUUUCUUUUAG
rnacentral:misc_RNA from 1 species